CCUAACUAUAAACUUUGGACCCCCCCCCGCCAGAGCACUACGAGCCACAGCUUAAAACUCAAAGGACUUGGCGGUGCUUUACACCCCCCUAGAGGAGCCUGUUCUAUAAUCGAUAACCCCCGAUCAACCUCACCGCCACUUGCCAAUACAGCUUAUAUACCACCGUCCCCAGCUAACCCUUUAAAGGCACAACAGUAAGCAUAAUAACUUAACUUUAAAAAGUCAGGUCAAGGUGUAGCAUAUGCAGCGGAAAGAAAUGGGCUACAUUUUUUACACAAAAAAUACGGAACAACCAAUGAAAAUAAAUGCAAAGGAGGAUUUAGUAGUAAAUAGAAAAAGAACAUUCUUUUUAAAUAGGCAAUAAAGCACGCAC
rnacentral:rRNA from 1 species